GAAUAUUCUGGAGUUAUGGGGUCAAAACAGCAAAAAUGGUGACAAAGGUCAAUUUCAGCUUGUACAGGAGUUAAAAGUUAAAGUUGCUCCAAUUUUGG